AUGUAGCGUCGUUCGCUGGGCUUCCGCGACCAGCUCUCUGUUAGUUUUACCGGGGAUCAUUUAUCAGACAUUACCGCGGAACAUGGGAAAGCACUGGUCCCAGAAUGUCUACGUCGCGUAAUGCGACAAAGAACAGUAGCGCUAGGGGGAGGGAAAUAUUUAUGUUUUUCUGGAAGGUUUGUGUUGAAGUAGCUAGUCGCUAGCGCUGUCUAGCGACUGUGCUGCUCGGAACGGAGUGAGGAUGCUACGCUGGAUACGACAGCAGCUGGGAUUUGACCCCCCUCAUCAGAGUGAGACCCGGACAGUUUAUGUAGCAAACCGCUUCCCUCAGCAUGGCCACUACACACCUCAACGCUUUGCUGAUAACCGAAUCAUCUCAUCCAAGUACACAGUUUGGAAUUUUGUCCCCAAGAAUUUGUUUGAGCAAUUCAGACGGAUUGCCAACUUCUAUUUCCUCAUUAUCUUCCUUGUACAGUUGAUGAUAGACACCCCGACCUCCCCAGUAACUAGUGGUCUGCCUCUCUUUUUUGUCAUCACAGUAACCGCCAUAAAACAGGGCUAUGAGGAUUGGCUAAGGCACAAGGCGGACAACGAGGUGAACGGGGCUCCCGUGUUUGUGGUUCGCAGUGGGAGUCUGGUGCAGACACGAUCCAAGAACAUCAGAGUGGGAGACAUAGUUCGUGUGGCUAAAGAUGAGACGUUCCCUGCCGACCUUGUAUUGCUGUCAUCAGACCGUGCAGACGGGACCUGCCACAUCACCACAGCCAGCCUUGAUGGAGAGACCAACCUUAAGACCCACUUCUCUGUACCUGAGACAGCAGUGUGUCAGUCAGUGUCCCAGCUGGAGGCUCUGCAGGCUGUGGUUGAGUGUCAGCAGCCAGAGGCGGACCUGUACAGAUUUGUUGGCCGUAUUACAGUGACACAGCAUGGGGAGGAGAUUGUCAGGCCGUUGGGUCCAGAGAAUUUGCUGCUUCGAGGAGCCAGAUUGAAAAAUACCAAAGAGAUUUUCGGUGUGGCAGUUUACACAGGGAUGGAAUCCAAGAUGGCCCUCAACUACAAGUGCAAGUCCCAGAAACGCUCCGCAGUGGAAAAAUCCAUGAAUACUUUCCUGAUCAUCUACCUGGGCAUCUUACUGUUCGAGGCCAUCCUCAGCACCAUCCUGAAGUAUGCAUGGCAGGCUGAGGACAAAUGGGACGAGCCCUUUUAUAACAGAAAGACUGAACAAGAGAGAAACAGCAGUCCGAUCUUAAAGUUCAUCUCAGACUUCCUGGCAUUUAUGGUGCUCUAUAACUUCAUCAUCCCCAUCUCACUGUACGUUACUGUGGAAAUGCAGAAGUUCUUGGGUUCCUUUUUCAUUGGCUGGGAUUUGGACCUUUACCACGAGGAGAGUGACCAGAAAGCUCAGGUCAACACCUCUGACCUCAACGAGGAACUGGGUCAGGUGGAGUAUGUGUUUACUGAUAAGACUGGUACACUAACAGAAAACGAGAUGCAGUUCCGUGAGUGUUCAAUUACUGGAACAAAGUACCGGGAAGUUAAUGGCAAACUGGUACCAGAAGGACUGACUGAGGACUCGCCAGAUGGUUCUACACCUCACCUGAUGGGCGGGGAGUUGUUAUUUCUCAAGGCGGUGUCAUUGUGUCACACGGUUCAGAUCAGCUACGACCAGCCUGACUGCCUGCUCGGGGCGGGAGACCCGUUCUCGAACGCAAACGGUUUCUCCACCAAUCACAUGGAGUACUACGCCUCAUCACCGGAUGAGAAGGCUUUAGUAGAGGCAACAAAGAGGAUUGGUGUGACUUUCACCAGCAUCAAAGGAGAUACCAUGGAAAUAAAAAGCUUUGGUAAAUCAGAGAAAUUUAAACUGCUCCAUGUGUUGGAAUUUGAUGCUAACCGCAGGAGGAUGAGUGUCAUAUUGCAGACUCCUUCAGGAGGAAAAAUGUUGUUCACCAAAGGAGCAGAUUCGGCCAUCUUGCCUUUCGCUACCAGCGGAGAGAUAGAAAAGACAAGGCUGCAUGUCGAUGAGUUUGCCUUGAAAGGUCUACGGACACUGGUGGUGGCGUGCCGCCACUUCAGUCCAGAGGAGUACAUUGAUGUGGACCGGCAUCUAACCGCUGCCCGCACUGCGCUGCAGCAGAGGGAAGAGAGGCUGCAGGAAGCCUUCAGCUACAUAGAGAGAGACCUUCAGCUGCUGGGAGCAACGGGGGUGGAGGACAAGCUCCAAGACAAAGUCCAGGAGACCAUUGAGGCUCUGCGGUUGGCUGGGAUUAAAGUAUGGGUGCUGACAGGGGACAAACAUGAGACAGCGGUCAGUGUCAGCCUUUCCUGUGGUCACUUCCAUCGAACCAUGAACAUCCUUGAGCUCCUGCAGCAGCAUUCUGAUAACGAGUGUGCGGAGCAGCUCCGCAGACUGGCCAGGAGGAUAAAGGAGGACCAUGUCAUACAGCAUGGAUUGGUCGUGGAUGGAGCCAGUCUGUCCUUAGCGUUGCGGGAGCACGAGAAACUCUUCAUGGAAGUGUGUAAAAAUUGUUCAGCUGUGCUGUGUUGCCGCAUGGCACCACUGCAGAAAGCAAAGGUGGUUCGUCUUUUAAAAACAUCUCCAGAGAAGCCCAUCACGUUAGCUGUUGGAGAUGGAGCCAAUGAUGUCAGUAUGAUACAAGAAGCCCACGUGGGCAUAGGUAUCAUGGGGAAGGAGGGUCGCCAGGCCGUGAGAAACAGUGACUAUGCAAUCGCCAGGUUUAAGUUCCUGGCUAAACUCCUGCUGGUCCACGGUCACUUCUAUUACAUUCGAAUAGCUACUCUUGUACAGUACUUUUUCUACAAGAAUGUAUGUUUUAUCACUCCACAGUUUUUAUACCAGUUCUUCUGUCUGUUUUCACAACAAACGCUGUAUGACAGUGUGUAUCUGACACUGUACAACAUCUGCUUCACCUCUCUGCCCAUCCUGGUGUACAGUUUGUUUGAACAGCUGGUCCAUCCACAUGUAUUACAGAACAAACCUGGCCUGUACAGGGACAUCAGCAGGAACUCACUGCUGUCUUUCCAGACUUUUCUGUACUGGACUCUCUUGGGCUUUUGCCACGCCUUCGUCUUUUUUUUUGGCUCCUACCUACUAAUGGGAGAAGAUACAACACUUAUGGGAAACGGACAGAUCUUGCGAGCUAACAGGCAGCUGAUGUUUGGGAAUUGGACAUUUGGGACACUCGUCUUCACUGUUAUGGUCAUCACAGUCACAUUAAAGCUGGCGUUGGAGACUCAUUUCUGGACGUGGAUGAACCACUUUGUGACAUGGGGCUCGAUUGCUUUCUACUUCAUCUUCUCUCUCUUCUAUGGUGGUAUCAUCUGGCCUUUCCUCCACACACAGGACAUGUACUUCGUCUUCGUGCAGCUGCUGUCUAGCGGCUCGGCCUGGUUUGCUAUCAUCAUCAUGAUCAUAACCUGCCUCUUUCCCGAUGUCGUGAAGAAGGUGUUCUACAGACAUCUGCAGCCCACCAGCACGCAGAAGAGUCAGAUGUAUUCCAACCGAGUGGUGAUAGGUGAUGACUUCAUCGCUCUGCAGCCUCUGUCCAGAGCCAAGAGCCAGCUGGGCAAGAUUAGUCUCUAUCAGACUCCCAGGCGGAGGCCCUCAGCUGUGUGGAGUCCCUGUGCUGCUACCAACAUGGGCAGAGCGGCUGUUUCCGCCUGGCCCGCUUCCUGGAGCAAAUGACCGGGCAGUGCCAGGCCAGCGCCAACCACUGUCACGUAGUGAGCCACGGCAACAGGUGUUGGAGGGACUCUGAGAACUUCCACUCAAACGACCGCACCAUCCUGACGCUGUCGCCCAUCGAGGCCCGCUGCUGACACCCAGACUGUAACUCCGCCCACAACCCGCGCCUUCAUUUUAGGACCACACCUCAGUUUAAAUAAAUGUUACGUGAAACCAGUCCUCAACUUUCUGGAUCCUUUUGAUUCAUUUCCUGGAAGGAACUUGAACUGUCAACACUCGGGAUCCAGCACUGGCAUGUUGGUGAGUUAUGCAAAAGUGUAAAAACACUUUUAAAACUCAACCAGCUAAAGGUUUUCUGUAGCUGACAGACAGAACUCGCCAGCGCCAACAUCUCCACAGACUGACUGAAGAUCUGGACUCUGAAACAUUUAACAGGACCAAAGUACUGGGAUCGUCCACGAUGCUCCACAGUGUGCAGACCCAACACGUCACCUCAACGUGUCGUUGAACUGGAGUCUCCUCGGCUGCGUUUGUGUGGUUCUGUAGCACCCGGUGGGUCCGCUGUGGUACCAAAGACGGAACUAAAGUGUUUAUUUUUGUGCCUGACCGUGCUCCAGCUUAUUUUUGUUAUGAGGACGAAGAUCAUUCACGCUGCUCUUUCUUGUCGUCGUGACUGUUCAGACCUUGCGUCUCGUGUGAAGGAGGCCGGACAAGGUCCGGUCCUAAAGCCAUACGUUUUCAGGUUGACUGUUGAAGGUGCACUCUUGUUUGUUGUUCAUGUUCCGGUUAUUGUUUUUGUUUGGAAACUCAUUGUCCUUAAAUGACUCCUGUUCAUUCCGCCCGCUGAAGAGGAAGCAUCUUGACAUUAAACACGUCUGUGUGUUCCGGGAGUAUUUUAAGAUGAAAAUUUGUUGAUGGGGUUUUAACGGCAAGAUGCUUCCACAAAAUACGGCCGAUUCACGAGAGAACAUCCGUCUUUACUCCAGCAGACAUUUUUUUUAUUUUGAUUUAUUUAAAUGUGAUUCCAUUCAUAAGCGUUUGCACAUCAUCCAUCAAAAAUCCUUUAUUUUUUCGGAUCAUGGUCAUCACCAUCGAGCUCAUGUUUUUGUGUGCAUGUUUGUGUGGCAGCUGUCGUUUUCCACGACGUAUUUCCAGACGUCGCAGUUUUUUCCAAACGAAUGUCUUCCAGUGAGACUGUUCUUCAAACAGGACAAAUUGAAGUGACAGCGAGGAGCCGCAGCGUCACGUAGGAGAUGACUGUUUUAAGUUGCUGACCGUUACUGCUCGCAGAGUUGUAGGAUACUUCUGUUACUAUGGUUACUGAUUGGCACAGUUGCCGCAGUAACACAAAAUGAGGGAGGGCAAGAUGUUUUUCUUUACGAUACACCCCUCCUUUACGUUUAUCUCGUGCAUGACACAAACGCAGCAACAUCUCAGACCGUUGACCUGCCGCAACAUGAGUUGUGCGAUCAGGGCGAACCUCCGUGCGAGUGUCGCUUCGUUGUGAUAAGCAUGACAUGACGCUUUCAGGGGUUCAAGAACAGAAGCAGGAGUUGCCCGCUGGAUUGCUCCGUCCCGCAACCCAAAGAAGGAUCGUAUGAGCACCUUAAAAGCAAAAAUGUUCUUUAUUUUUCCUUCUUUAACCUUUGACCUCAUACCAGCUGUGAAAAUAUCUUUUGUGUCUGUACCACAGAGCAGAAAUAUGUCAAAUUUUCAGUUAGUCUUUCUGUUGUGACAAAGGAAUUUGGAGAAAACUGAUGCUAGAAUCAAGUCAGAAUUUGAGAAUAAAGUAAUUUGAGAAAAAUUAUUUAAGUUCUGGGGAGAAGAAAACAUUGUGAUCUUGUUUGUUUUUGAUAAUUGGUGCUGAUAAACCAGAACAUAAAAUACUUUUUAUCAUUAUAUAUAAAUCAUCUGAAGGAUUGUGCUCUUGAAGUUUCUCAAAAUACUUCUCAGUAAACUGACUUUGUGAAAUACGUUUUCCUCAAAGUUUUGACUGAAUUUUUUUUUCCCUCCUUACAUGUCCCUAAUAUUCUGUCACUAUGCCUGGAUGAGUUAAAAUGUUGAUGCUGUUAAAUAUAUUAAAGAGAAACUAUUUUAUCUGUA